UGGAAACCAGAUGGAGGAGAAUGACAGAGAAGGCAGCAGUCUCAGGAUGUAUCCCUUUUCCUCUGGGAAACUCCCUCCCGACCACCAAUACAAGAAGGGUGAUGCAAGACUCCUGCUGCUCCUACACUGAGCUGAUUAUUCUGCUUUUAAUCAUCUUGCGACCACUUGGGAGAUCCCGACCUCGACCCCUAGGUUGGGAACUACUGCCUUAACCUACAAUGUGGCAUCAAAUUUCUAUUUAUAGGGAUGUCAAAUUCAAUCAUGUGCAAAUGUCAAGGAUCAAACUAAAACAAUAUGGUGUCAAAUCUAAAUGAAUAUGUUGCAUUUAAUUGUUUAAGUCUUUAGGAUUUGUUGAAUGCAUAAUAAUGUCAUGCAGCUUUAGUGGCUCUUAGAAAAACAAGCAAAUCUUUGUGGCCAGUGACAAGUCGAGCUGAUCUUUUGUUUGUCUGAAAAACAAAACCUCUGUGCUGAGCUGCAGCACGCUGACACAGUGCCUUGGUGUCUAUUGUCACGGCAGCACGACAAGCCAGAGGGCAUUUGGAGCAUCAAUACGUCAACGUCGCUGUCAUCGAAUGAAAAACUUCAAAUCUGCUUCAACGUCCCUGGAAAUGCAUAAACAGGUUAUUUUCUAGUUAAUAAACAAAUGUUAACUUUAACAUUCUAAACAAAAGCUUUAGAAACUUGCUUCUAAAAAACAUUCUUGGGUUUCACAGCCUCCUGCAGGAAUGAAAAGUAAAACCUUGCAGUGGUCGGAGCAGUGUGGGCUCAUUGUUGAAGCAAAGUGAAUUAGUUGCUUGGAUAGCUUGAUCCUCCAGAGAAUUUAUCGGGAAGGUCAAAUUACAUUUGUUUGAUAGUUGUUCAAGCAAGACCGGAGCACUUAAUAAAGACACCCUGGUUCUGCUUGCCUGAAUAAAUUAUGCACAGUUCAAAGCUUCCAUCUGCUUCGAUAUAAUUACAUCUCAGAGCCAGACCGCUGCAGAGAGGCGAGUGAUUACCUUCUGAUUUCUUCACUCACAUGUCCCACACCACCAUAAUGCAAACAGCAUGCCUAAAUUGAGUUGUUUUCAAAAAAUAAAAUUAAUUAUGAUGUUUAAAAUCCUCUUUCCGCUGUUGGUGUGAUUUGGAAAACAAACUAAGGACGAGAAGAGAAGGUAGAUAAAGACCCUUUUUAUUCAGUAAAAGCUGAGGGAAGAAAUAAAUCUUGUUCAAACUUGCAUGAAUGUGAACUGCUGUUUGUUUGUUAGCGAUUACACCACAAACGUGUGCACAUACGAUAUACCUGCAAAUAUUGUUUCUUUUCAGACAUCGGCUGAGUGAAAACACGGUCAUGGUCUCUGUUGACCCAGAUUCAUCUUUAUCCACCUGAAAAAGGUCUCUUGUUCUCCUGAUUACUGCCCCGCUUCCCCUGACUGAUGGUUAUUUAGAGAAGGCACUGCAUUUGUGUAAUGACAUUACUUCAAACCGUAAAAACCAGAUGUCAUGAGGAGAUAAAACACAAAGUUUCAACAUUGUUAGUGUUCUGUGGAUGUAUUUGAACACAUCUGAUACUUUACUUUUAUGGGAAAUGAGCUUUCUGUCACAGUAGUGUCAACAGUUAGGCAACCAUAUUCCAAUUACAUGUCACUGCACUUCUUUGUGAGUUCAGCAGGGUUUGUGUCAACACGUCUGUUAAGGUUACUAUUGAUUCCAUCUCUGAGAGAAACUUCUUGUUUUCUCUGAACAGAGCAGUAGACGAGCCAGCUAGUCUAUAAUGUAUCACAGAGAUUGCAUGUCAACACAUUUUUGCUGCUUCUUAACACAUCUGUGCAUGUCCCAGACUGGACAGAGGGACAUUGUUAGGAGCAAGCUGAACUGUAAAUAGACAUGUGACCUGAUCUUCGUUCAGUGUAGUUUUAUGAUUAAGUUGUUGUCCACUGAAAUUCUGACAUUUUUCAACACAUUAUUUCACUUCAAACAAUAAUAAUGCACACUGGACUUUAUGUUCAGACAUAGAGAACUACAAUAGUGGGACCAAAGUGAAAAAAAUCUUUGAUCUGUAACCUGAAUUGUUGUUCUGUUGCAUUCCCCAAAUGUCUACGCAAUUUCUCAGUGCAGUAGUGACUGUUUAUCUCGGAGCAACUGAAUGCAGCCGCGACAGUUUCUGAUGGAUGGUUGGUUCCUUAGGUCACAACAUGCCAGCGCUUCAGGAGAUGGACAAAAAAGCACAAUCAUCUGGAAGUGUUUUCUGCAAUGGGGUCAAUCCACUGAGGUUUCUCAGGCAGCCUCUUACCCACAGUCACCUUCACUCACACACACACACAGGCAUAAACAGACUCCAAUACAAGACAACUGGAGGGACGCUGGCUUGUUAAAAGAGCUACCAAAGAUCCUCUAUAUUCUCAAGCACGUACAGCCAUGAUGCAAUCUGUGAAAAAAACCUUGGUUUAGUCAGCCUUACUCUGUAAGUAUAAUGUGAAUGUUCACAGGACAAACACUCAUUGCCAGACACACACACAAGAUCUGUAAGCUGCCAUGACUGAAACCCCGGCUCUCUCCCCCUCUUUCUCCUUUCUCUACCCGUCUCCUUCCCAGUCACGUCCUUGGCAGGUUACCAUCCGAGUGUAGGUAUUCAGCCAAACCCUGGCAUGUCUGCCCACUUUAGUGUUUUUAUGGACCAUUCAAGACCACAAGUGUGUUUAUGUGUCUGUGUAUUCAGACACUUUCAAGUAAAUAAAGCAAAAAAGCUCAAUGCACAACAUGUUACUGAGUUGUAAAAAGUGAAGAAACUGCUGUGAGGGUAAACCACUGAGAUCUAAGCUUUCCUCUUGUCCUGUAGAGACACACCCUGUUGAGUCAGUCCUGUGCAUAGAAACAAAUCACACACUGCUUUGAAAAACAGGAUCUCACACAAAAUGUUAAAUACAGUGUCGACACUGACACAAUCUUUCCCUCUCUUUCGUUUGUGGUUUUGUUUUUAAUGUCUGUUUAUGCUCCAUCACUGAUACACCCAUUUUUACGUCAUACAGAAAACGAAUAAAAGCAAAACUAAAACUGUGAGAAUAGUCAAUUUAUUACACAUAGGAUUCAUAUAUAUAAAGUUAUAUACAAUAUAGUUACAUACAUACAAAUAUAAACUUCUACACCAAGACUGGGCUCAUCUGACUUUCAAUUAACCAACUGAAAAGGUGGAUUUCCUUUAAAACCAAAACACUUAAGGCCCCAAGCCUUUACAGAUUGAUGACAUUCAAAAACCCUAAUAUGCAGUCUUGAGGCUGAUCGUCUUCUUAGGC